GCAAGUCGAACGAGAACGCUCUCUUCGGAGAGUUAGUACAGUGGCGAACGGGUGAGUAACGGGUGGAAAACCUGCCCUUCAAUGGGGGAUAACGGUUCUAACGAACCGCUAAUACCGCAUACGACCUUCUUUUCGCAUGGAAAGUAGGUGAAAGAUGGCCUCUUCUUGAAAGCUGUCGUUGAAGGAUGGUUCCGCCUCCCAUUAGCUAGUUGGUGGGGUAAUGGCCUACCAAGGCGACGAUGGGUAGCCGGCCUGAGAGGGUGUCC
rnacentral:rRNA from 1 species